GACGGGACCAGCUGGCUGGUGCCAUGAGGUGACUUCUGCCCAGUGCUCUGAUUGUCAAUGCGAAGAGAUUCAGCCAAGCGCGGGUCAACGGCGGGAGUAACUAUGACUCUCUUAAGGUAGCCAAAUGCCUCGUCAACCAAUUAUUGACGCGCAUGAAUGGAUCAACGAGAUUCCUGCUGUCCCUAGGUGCUGUCUGGUGAACCAACAGCCAAGGGAACGGGCUUGGAUGUGUCAGCGGGGAAAGAAGACCCUGUUGAGUUUGACUCUAGUUUGAUGCUGUGCAACAACAUGGAGGGUGUAGCACAGGUGGGAGGCAAGUGCCAUCAAAGAGAGCCUGUCCCACCAGGAAUCAGGUGGUUUGUGAGCCCUGGAUCCCUGCAUGUCAAGGGCUGGGCAAGCAUGCCAUCCUGAGACCUGUGUGUUGGACUGUGUCCCUGAGCAAUUGGUGCAAGCCAGCAGUGAAAUACCACUACCUUCACCGUUGUUUUACUCAUCGAGUGGCUUGGGAACAGUGGCCGUCAGACAAUCAGUCACUGCACUCUGUGGUGGCUGGGGCCUUGACCUGAUUCGUGCUUCAAUCACUGCACUCUGUGUGGUGUGCCUCCAGUGGGCUUCACUGGUCUUUGGAUUGGUGCCUCGGGACAAUGAUCAGUUGGGGAGUUUGGCUGGGGCGGCACGCCUGUUACAGCACAACGCAGGCGUCCUGAAGCAUUGCUCAGAUGGAACAGAACUCUGCCAUGGAGGAGCAGGCCAAAGGUGCUGCUGAUGCUGUGGCUUCCAGUACAAGCCCAAAACGUGCAAGUGUGGCCUAUCGAUCCUUUGGAUCCCAUUCGGGUUCUGGAUAUUGAAGCCAGAGGUGUCAGAAAAAUUACCACAGGGAUAACUGGCUUGUGGCUGCCAAGCGUUCACAGCGACGUUGCUUUUUGAUCCUUCGAUGUCGGCUCUUCCUAGCUUCCCGCCCGCAGCCGAGCGGAAGAGUUGGAUUGUUCACCCACCAACAGGGAACGUGAGCUGG
rnacentral:rRNA from 1 species